AUAUGCUGGAUGAGUAUGAGGAAUUGGAUUGAUUUCACUCAAUCCGAGCCCUACAUUCAUCAGGGAUUCGU
rfam:Nicotiana sylvestris Nsyl_contig16310, whole genome shotgun sequence.